UACAAUAAAAAAAUAGCAACCUUCCCAACGUCCCUAUCCUCUCCCAUCGUCCCCUCCGUCUCUCACGCUCGUUCCCCUCCAUCCGGAGCCAAAUCCUCUGGAUCCUCUCUCCACAACAAGACCCAUAGCUAUAUUGUUUGCUGCAAUCGGAGCUUCAACUAUCGGAUCGAGUUGCCCUCCUGCUGAAUCGAGCGCCACUUUCUUCUCUCUGCUCGGUGGAGGAGAUUCAGAGGAGGGAGCGAGUAGAGCAGAGACUGGUAGGGCCAUGGGCGUGGGCAUGGCCGAGCUGGGCACACGCCAGGCGCUCGCGAAGAGGUUUGCCCGGCCAACUCCGCGUGCCGCCUCAUCUGCGCUUGGGUAUCGUGGAGCUCGAAGGUCGCAAGCCCUUCCAAAGCUCGUGUCGUCGGGUAUCAUGAACUGAACCUGUUUGAUAAGAACACCAUAAGGAGGCCGUCUUGCGGCGUCCAUUCUGAGGGAAAUUUGAAUUUGUUAAUAGGCGACUAAUCCAUUGUAGCAUUGUGACUCUGUUCCUCCCUGAAGAACAAGUGGAUGUAGGAACGCUUGAAAGGACUUGUGAUGAGAUUUUUUUUCCCGAUUGGUAGGGCUAAUGCACUCUUCAAAAUUAGGCUUCUGAUUGAACUCCUGAUGUAGCAUGAGUACAUGGAGUAAUGGUGGACGUAGAUUGAGUGUGCGGUCCAGAGACAGUAGUUCAUAGCAUGGAAUGAAACCAUCUAUAUGUGUUAUUCGCGCCGAUCUUGGUUCGUAGAGAGUAGAAUGAUGAUUUCAUUAAUGAUGAAUGUAUUGCAAAGUAUAGUUACUAGCUAGUUGGUGUCUUGAUGUGGCCUUUCUUGUAGUAUCUUGAACCAACUUGCAAAGAUGGUUUUCUUUUAAUACUCAGGAUGUUAUUCCAAAUCA